rnacentral:lncRNA from 1 species
AUCAAGGUAUAAUAAUUUGUUAGAUUCUAAGGUUUUCAAGUAUUGUUCCAAGGAAAAAUCAGGAAGAAUUCUAAAAGGAAAAGAAGAUACUUCCACAGAGAGGAAGCACACAUUGGAGGUCCUAAGAGGAAGAAAUGAGUCAUCUUUGGGUAAAACAAGAUUUCACAGGGGGAGUUGAAACCUCUCAUCAUGAAAAUGACUGAAAAGCCUGAAAUAGUAAGGUAAAUCUCCCAACUGCAGAAUUUAGAGCCAUGCAACUUCAUGAGCUUAUCAGGUAAGUGAAAAUUAUUAAGAGAUUUCUAUGAACCCAUUUCUCAGGUCCACCUUUAAUGUGCCUUGAAGUGUAGACUGGAAAUUCCACUCAUGAACUAGAUUAAUUGUACUGACUAUAAUGUUCAAAUAUUCUUAUACGUUGAU